rfam:Ipomoea nil DNA, scaffold: scaffold3025, cultivar: Tokyo-kokei standard.
ACCAAUUCUGGGGGAGAAUAAAAGUUCCUCUUGGUAUAAUGGCUCAGACGCAAAAGGGAAGAAGAGUGGCAUAUCCUGAUCAAUGGACUAUUUAACUGUGCUAUUGCAUCCUGGAAACACCACUUACAUAU